rnacentral:rRNA from 1 species
AGCAGCCGCGGUAAUUCCAGCUCCAAUAGCGUAUAUUAAAGUUGUUGCAGUUAAAAAGCUCGUAGUUGAAUUUCGGGAUCAGUUGGUCGGUCGUACCUCGGUACGUACUGGUCAAAUUGAUUCCUACCUUCUGACGAACCACGAUGUCAUUAAUUUGGUGUCGCGGGAAAUCAGGACUGUUACUUUGAAAAAAUUAGAGUGUUUAAAGCAGGCUCGCGCUUGAAUACAUUAGCAUGGAAUAAUGAAAUAGGACGUUUGAUUCUAUUUUGUUGGUUUCUAGGAUCGACGUAAUGAUUAAUAGGGAUAGUUGGGGGCAUUAGUAUUCAAUUGUCAGAGGUGAAAUUCUUGGAUUUAUUGAAGACUAACUACUGCGAAAGCAUUUGCCAAGGAUGUUUUCAUUAAUCAAGAACGAAAGUUAGGGGAUCGAAGACGAUCAGAUACCGUCGUAGUCUUAACCAUAAACUAUGCCGACUAGGGAUCGGAUGAUGUUAAUUUUUUAAUGACUCAUUCGGCGCCUUACG